GACGAACGCUGGCGGCGCGCCUAACACAUGCAAGUCGAACGAGCGAGAGAGAGCUUGCUUUCUCAAGCGAGUGGCGAACGGGUGAGUAACGCGUGAGGAACCUGCCUCAAAGAGGGGGACAGCAGUUGGAAACGACUGCUAAUACCGCAUAAGCCAACAGGUCGGCAUCGACCAGAGGGAAAAGGAGCAAUCCGCUUUGAGAUGGCCUCGCGUCCGAUUAGCUAGUUGGUGAGGUAACGGCCCACCAAAGCAACGAUCGGUAGCCGGACUGAGAGGUUUAACGGCCACAUUGGGACUGAGACACGGCCCAGACUCCUACGGGAGGCAGCAGUGGGGAAUAUUGCACAAUGGGGGAAACCCUGAUGCAGCGACGCCGCGUGGAGGAAGAAGGUCUUCGGAUUGUAAACUCCUGUUGUGGAGGAAGAUAAUGACGGUACUCAACAAGGAAGUGACGGCUAACUACGUG
rnacentral:rRNA from 1 species